UACGUAGGUGGCAAGCGUUGUCCGGAUUUACUGGGCGUAAAGAGCGCGCAGGCGGCUGGUCAAGUCCGAUGUGAAAUCUCCCGGCUUAACUGGGAAACUGCAUCGGAAACUGAUCGGCUUGAAGGUGGGAGAGGGUAGUGGAAUUCCCGGUGUAGUGGUGAAAUGCGUAGAUAUCGGGAGGAACACCGGGUGGCGAAGGCGGUUCUCUGGGCCUGUGACUGACGCUGGAGGAGCGAAAGCGUGGGGAGCAAAC
rnacentral:rRNA from 1 species